AAUAGAUACCCCGGUAGUCCACGCCGUAAACGAUGAGUGCUAAGUGUUAGAGGGUUUCCGCCCUUUAGUGCUGAAGUUAACGCAUUAAGCACUCCGCCUGGGGAGUACGGCCGCAAGGCUGAAACUCAAAGGAAUUGACGGGGGCCCGCACAAGCGGUGGAGCAUGUGGUUUAAUUCGAAGCAACGCGAAGAACCUUACCAGGUCUUGACAUCCUCUGACAACCCUAGAGAUAGGGCUUCUCCUUCGGGAGCAGAGUGACAGGUGGUGCAUGGUUGUCGUCAGCUCGUGUCGUGAGAUGUUGGGUUAAGUCCCGCAACGAGCGCAACCCUUGAUCUUAGUUGCCAUCAUUUAGUUGGGCACUCUAAGGUGACUGCCGGUGACAAACCGGAGGAAGGUGGGGAUGACGUCAAAUCAUCAUGCCCCUUAUGACCUGGGCUACACACGUGCUACAAUGGACGGUACAAAGAGCUGCAAGACCGCGAGGUGGAGCUAAUCUCAUAAAACCGUUCUCAGUUCGGAUUGUAGGCUGCAAC
rnacentral:rRNA from 1 species